rnacentral:misc_RNA from 1 species
UUUCCGUAGGUGAACCUGCGGAAGGAUCAUUAAUGAGUUGUCAUGGGGUUCGAUGCUGGCAGCCAGUUUUUGGAUGCAUGUGCUUGUCCUAACAAUCAUCUUCUUCCAAACACCUGUGCACAUUUUUGAGGGAGUCUUGAGUUGGUUGCCGCUCUUGGGUGAUUUUCUCACAUUCCCUUAAAUCAUUAUACGCUAUUAACAAUGUUGAACGUGCUCUGUGCCGCAAGGCCAUUAAUAUAAUACAACUUUUAACAACGGAUCUCUUGGCUCUC